rnacentral:rRNA from 1 species
UGGGGAAUAUUGCACAAUGGGCGCAAGCCUGAUGCAGCAACGCCGCGUGAGGGAUGACGGCCUUCGGGUUGUAAACCUCUUUUAGUAGGGAAGAAGCGCAAGUGACGGUACCUGCAGAAAAAGCACCGGCUAACUACGUGC